rnacentral:tRNA from 1 species
AGUCCCGCCCCUCCUG